UGCUGGCAUCAUCAUCUUCAUCUUCCUCUAGAAUGUCAUCAGAUGGAGGGGCCCACAAUUGCAAAAAGUCUGUUGCUGUCAAUAACCUGUUACCUGAAAGGGAAUGGUACCAAAGCUAUGGAACCAGAAUGAUGAAGCAAGGAGUCACGUAAACAAGCCAAGGACAAACCACAGAAGAAGGGAAGAAUGAAGAACCUGAGAAUUGCAAUGUCCCUAAUCAGUUUGAGAGGAGCAUUUGACAAAUUUGUGUUUUAUCAGCCUCAGUAAUGGAAGGCAGACGCUCAUCAGUAGCGGGCAGGCUUCGUCAGAACCCCAGUGCAACUGACUGUGCGCUUUGCAGAUGAGAUAUAAACACACACAAAUAUAUUUUAAAAAAAAAUGAAGACAGACAGAAGCACCCAGCGCAAUCCGAGGACACGCAGCGGGGGUUUCCCCGGUCGAUACAGCGGAGGGAGCCCGGCCGGGCUGACGGGCGAUGCGCGGCUGCCCCCAGAGCCGCCGGUGCCGCUCCGCCCGCGGCGCCCCCCGCCCGCCCGCCGGGCUCGCCCUCCCUGCGCUCUGCCCGGGCCUACGGCCGCCGUGCCCAGGCCGGCC